GUUAGCUUGAAGUUCAUCAUUAGCCUAUUCUGUGAAUACAUUUUCUCAAUAAUAUUGCUGUAAAUUUCAGACUUGACUGGAUUCGUUUCCUUCGCCGCGGCAUAAGAGAACCACGCGGACUUGUGCAGUUUCACCCUCGUGUUAUUAAAAAAUGCAUUUGAGGAAUUUAAAUAGCCAGUAUCCAAUAUCAACCUGACUUCCUCUUGACGGAAAAAAAAGUUUGCCGCGCCGUGUUCCUCAUGGACUUGUAAAGAUAAUAUUACACAGCGUAAUGUGGCCUGAUAAAAAAAAAGCAGCCUACAUAUAUAUAUAUAUUUAAGUCCAAAGGUGUAAUGUGGUCAAACCUUUUUUUUUCCCCUCGUGAAACUCCGCCAUGCGCCGGACGGCCUGACUGACGUCAUGGACCCUGAACAGAAGAUCCUGCUAAACCUGGAUUGAUCAGCUGCUCAAAUGACGGUGCUGCGUUGAAUCGACCGACAUCCUGGUCUGCACUUAAGGACAGAUUGGGAAGCCGUGAUGGCGGCACAGAAGUUGAGGGAGAAGCUAUUUAUCCCAGACGGAUCAGGAGGUGUGUGACGGAGGUGUGGACGGUUGCUGCAGGUCAGUGACGUUGGCAGGCGCCAGGCAGGCCGGCCCACAUGGCUCGGGGACUGUGGGACUACAGACAGAUGGCACCUGAGAGAUCGAACUGGACUCAGAGAUGCAGCAGUGCCCCGGGAUCUGGUGGGAGCUCCAAGCAACUGAAGCUGUCUUCCUGAAGUUCAGACAGCAGUGACGGCUGCCGACCCAAAAGCGACACACUCCUCCCUGUCUCCGUGUCCAUCUCUCAAUAUCCGUCCCCGCACCUCCCCGGCUCCCGCUUCCCCAGUAUCAUACUUCAUUUGCUCCAGAUAACACAUCAGCUUCGACGCCCCAUCCACAAACCCUGUCGCCAUGGUGCCCACAGAUGGUAACUUCCUGUGGUCUUGCCCAGUGAUUGGUGGAGAGACUUCCAAACAGAGAACAGCUGCGACCUUGAAGAAGGACUAAAAGACUGUGAACAGCAGCAGAGAUGACGAUCGUUUCUGAACCUGAUGAAAUAAAACACCGUGAUACGCACGUGCACUGUGACAUUCUGCAGCUUUCACUAUGCAACCCGUACCGAGGA